GACGAACGCUGGCGGCGUGCUUAACACAUGCCAGUCGAACGCUGAAGCUUGGUGCUUGCCCUGGGUGGAUGAGUGGCGAACGGGUGAGUAAUAAGUGAGUAACCUGCCCUUGACUCUGGGAUAAGCCUGGGAAACUGGGUCUAAUACUGGAUACGACAUGUCACCGCAUGGUGGUGUGUGGAAAGGGUUUUACUGGUUUUGGAUGGGCUCACGGCCUAUCAGCUUGUUGGUGGGGUAAUGGCUCACCAAGGCGACGACGGGUAGCCGGCCUGAGAGGGUGACCGGCCACACUGGGACUGAGACACGGCCCAGACUCCUACGGGAGGCAGCAGUGGGGAAUAUUGCACAAUGGGCGGAAGCCUGAUGCAGCGACGCCGCGUGAGGGAUGACGGCCUUCGGGUUGUAAACCUCUUUCAGCACGGAAGAAGCGAAAGUGACGGUACGUGCAGAAGAAGCGCCGGCUAACUACGUG
rnacentral:rRNA from 1 species